AUUUUGGAACUAAAGUCUUCAAAUUUCGUGUACGGACACUGCCCAUUAGCCACACCUACCAAGGAUGAGCCCAUAAUGUCCUCAUUCCUAAUUUUCGAUUCCUAGCCAUUAAAGCCUGACGUAAUUAAUACAAUUACAAUAUUACCCAUGCCUUUUAUAAAUUAACAUUAAUAUUAAUGCACAUUAAGUACUGAUAAUUAACGAUAUAUAUAUAUAUAUAUAUAUUAAAUGUAUGUAUGUUUUAUAAAUUUUUUUUUUUUUUUGAAACUGUUUUAUAACUAAGCUGAUCUCGUACAUUUUUAGCUGUUGAAAUGUCGGAAGAGAAGUGAAAAAAUGGCGAUGGGUCUUACGGAUGCAGUUUGGAUAUUGACGAGUGUCGCUCUAAGAAAGAGCAUAUAUAUAUUCGAGGAAUUUGCAGUCAUGUUGAUCGAUUUCCUUCCGGUUUUGGUGUCAACAAUCCGGUUUUCUCGUUUCAUUUUCAGUCACCCGACGGCUGUUCCUGCUGCAGGCAUCAGGUACUCUCCCAUGUCAUCAAUGGUGGCUCGACACGAUCGGUAGUAGUCCUACAAAGUUCAAGCCUUCAUGCUCAUCAUUUGGUGGUGGCUAUCUAUCUCAUUUUCAAUUCCAAGGACAUACGUACACACAUGAACCGAAGGAAAAAUAAGGACAUGGCUUGUAAACAAUUAAGCUCCUGUGGCAGCUGUUUCUUUCUUAUAUAUAUAUAUAUAUAUAUAUGUUGCUUAAUUAAAUUAUUAUUUAUUUGUCAUUGAUUUUUCCCCAAAUAAAAAUGAAUACUACUACUCUUUGGGGGUUUUCUUCUGUGAUAUGCUUGAUGAGAUGAUAUAUAGCAAGUCAUGAUCAUGCUAGCUUGGGGUACUACUGCCUUAUGCUUCAAGUGAUCACGCGUGAGCUAUAACCUUACAGAUUACAAUCAUGUUUGGUUCAUGAUGUAAUUUUUUUGUAUUUCUUGUUUCGUUUUCCAACUGCAACGUACGUUAUAUAUAUUGACCAUGGAUGGCAGAACUUUAUAUUAUAUAUAGGCUUGCAUGCAAUAUGUAUAGAAUGUAUUGACCAAGCUAUUACUUUGCUUCCACAUGUGACAUGAUCGAUGGUGUUUUGUUGUCUGCGUUAAGUGCUGGUUUAAGAUCAUGAAUUAAUACACGAAGUACUUUUUAAUAA